CCAUAGGCCGCCGCCUGCAGGAUCGUGGUCUUGUAGUGGAAACAAUUCACCUUGUCUCGGAAUCGGACCUCACUCGUGCACUGCAGGAUGUUAAAGAUGACGGUUCCCCCUUUUGUAUUCUCGUGGAGCAAUCUAAUGUGAAAUAUUCCUCUUGUACCGUAAUCAUGCUUCAUGAAUCCAUCAAAAUACAUCGGCAUAUGCCCCUGGAGGAUGCACUGGUUCUGGUGGUUAAAGAAUUGAAGAGAUUUUUCACUGGACAAAGCGCUGGAAUUUCUCAGAGGGCUACUGAACUGGUGGAUGACUUCCUGGCCCGUGAGCACCUGGCCAGUUACUCUGUUCCAUCUAGCAUUUGUCAUCUUCUUUUCCUGUUGCGUGAGGGGAAGCAUUUGUACAGUGACGAGCUGGGCCUGAUCAUGGACUACCUGGCAAUCAGGAAAGAGCAACUGCAAGGUACGUGGCAUUAUGCCUUCCCUUCUGAGUUCUGAACUAUGUGUGGAAGAAAACUAUGUUUUUCAUUCAGAGAGAGAGAGAGAGAGAGAGAGAGAGAGAGAGAGAGUGUGUGUAUGAUACAAAAGGAUGAUCUGCAUGGGUU
rnacentral:lncRNA from 1 species